GGCUCUGGUCCUCACGCCCACCCGAGAGCUCGCCCUGCAGACCAUGAAGUUCACCAAAGAGCUGGGGAAGUUCACCGGCCUGAAAACGGCACUCAUUCUCGGUGGAGACAGCAUGGACGACCA